rnacentral:rRNA from 1 species
GAAUGCUGACAUAAGUAACGAUAAAGCGGGUGAAAAGCCCGCUCGCCGGAAGACCAAGGGUUCCUGUCCAACGUUAAUCGGGGCAGGGUGAGUCGACCCCUAAGGCGAGGCCGAAAGGCGUAGUCGAUGGGAAACAGGUUAAUAUUCCUGUACUUGGUGUUACUGCGAAGGGGGGACGGAGAAGGCUAUGUUGGCCGGGCGACGGUUGUCCCGGUUUAAGCGUGUAGGCUGGUUUUCCAG